GCUGGAAGUGUAGUUCAGUGGUAGAAUAUUUGCCUAGUAUGCUACAGGCCCUGGGUUCAAUUCCCAGCACUAGCC